UACGGGGGGGGCAAGCGUUGUUCGGAAUUACUGGGCGUAAAGGGCUCGUAGGCGGCCAACUAAGACAGACGUGAAAUCCCCAGGCUUAACCUGGGAACUGCGUCUGAUACUGGAUGGCUUGAAUCCGGGAGAGGGAUGCAGAAUUCCAGGUGUAGCGGUGAAAUGCGUAGAUAUCUGGAGGAAUACCGGUGGCGAAGGCGGCAUCCUGGACCGGCAUUGACGCUGAGGAGCGAAAGCUAGGGGAGCAAACGGG
rnacentral:rRNA from 1 species